UACGUAGGGUGCAAGCGUUGUCCGGAAUUAUUGGGCGUAAAGAGCUCGUAGGCGGUCUGUCACGUCGGCUGUGAAAUCCCGAGGCUCAACCUCGGGUCUGCAGUCGAUACGGGCAAACUAGAGUAUUGCAGGGGAGACUGGAACUCCUGGUGUAGCGGUGAAAUGCGCAGAUAUCAGGAGGAACACCGGUGGCGAAGGCGGGUCUCUGGGCAAUAACUGACGCUGAGGAGCGAAAGCGUGGGGAGCGAACAGG
rnacentral:rRNA from 1 species